GACGAACGCUGGCGGCGUGCCUAAUACAUGCAAGUCGAACGCAGUGGGGACGGGUGAGUAACACGUGGGUAACCUCCCAUCAGAGGGGAUAACACUUGGCAACAGGUGCUAAACCGAUACUGAUGGAUGCACCCGCGGUGCAUUCGCUAGUUGGUGAGGUAACGGCUCACCAAGGCCACGAUGCAUAGGCGACCUGAGAGGGUGAGAGGCCACACUGGGACUGAGACACGGCCCAGACUCCUACGGGAGGCAGCAGGAGGGAAGCUUAGGCAAUGGACGAAAGGCUGACCGAGAAACGCCGCGUGAGUGAAGAAGGUGUUCGGAUCGUAAAACGCUGUUGUUAGAGAAGCGGUAUCUAACCAGAAAGCCACGGCUAACUACGUGCCAGCCGCCGCGGUAAUAC
rnacentral:rRNA from 1 species